GACGAACGCUGGCGGCGUGCUUAACACAUGCAAGUCGAACGGUGAAGCGCCUUCCUUUUUGGUGGGUGUGGAUGAGUGGCGAACGGGUGAGUAAAACGUGAGUAACCUGCCCCCUUCUUCUGGAUAACCGCAUGAAAGUGUGGCUAAUACGGGAUAUUCUGGGUCUGUCGCAUGAUGGGUCUGGGAAAGAUAUUGUUUCGGUGGGGGAUGGGCUCGCGGCCUAUCAGCUUGUUGGUGGGGUGAUGGCCUACCAAGGCGGUGACGGGUAGCCGGCCUGAGAGGGUGCACGGUCACACUGGGACUGAGACACGGCCCAGACUCCUACGGGCGGCAGCAGUGGGGAUUAUUGCACAAUGGGCGCAAGCCUGAUGCAGCGACGCCGCGUGAGGGAUGGAGGCCUUCGGGUUGUGAACCUCUUUCGCCAGUGAAGCAGGCCUGCCUCGUUUGUGGGUGGGUUGACGGUAGCUGGAUAAGAAGCGCCGGCUAACUACGUG
rnacentral:rRNA from 1 species